AGGAACCUGCCUCGGAGUGGGGGAUAACACAACGAAAGCUGUGCUAAUACCGCAUGAUACAGUUGGGUCGCAUGACUCUGACUGUCAAAGAUUUAUCGCUCUGAGAUGGCCUCGCGUCUGAUUAGCUAGUUGGUGAGGUAACGGCCCACCAAGGCGACGAUCGGUAGCCGGACUGAGAGGUUGAACGGCCACAUUGGGACUGAGACACGGCCCAG
rnacentral:rRNA from 1 species